rnacentral:rRNA from 1 species
ACUGAAAACUGGCUGCCUGCCUUAUACCUGAUAUGCGAACGGUAACAAGUCCUCCUAUGCUGACGAGAGGUGAACAGGCGAGUCAAUACCUCAGAACGUGCCCGAUAGAUGGGGGACAACCAGGAGAAAGCUUUGCUCUUACCACCUACAAUCGUACGGAUGAGAAGCGGGCGAUCUUCUGACCUCGCUGAUAACGUGCGGUCGACUCCACAUUACGCCAAUGGGGGGAUAAAAGCUUACCAUGACUACCAUCUGUAGCUGGUCUGAAAAGAUGAUCAGCCACACUGGGACUGAGACACGGUCCACACUCCUCACGGAGGCAGCAGUGGGGAAUUUUGGACAAUGGGUGAAAGCCUGAUCCAGACAUGCCCCGUGCAUGAUGAACGCCUUCGGGUUGUAAACUGCCUUUGUACGGAUCGACAAGCCUCUUUCUAAUAAAGAGGGGUCAUGACGGUACCGGAGGAAUACCCACCGGCUACCUACGUGUCAGCAGCCGCGGCAAUACGUUAGGGUGCAGGCUUUUAUCGGAAUUACUGGGCGUAAGCGUGCGCAGGCGGUUUUGUAGACAGAGGUGAAAUCCCCGGGCUCUUUUGGGAACUGCCUUUGUGACUGCAAGGCUGGAGUGCGGCAAAGGGGGAUGGAAUUCCGCGUGUAACAGUGAAAUGCGUAAAUAUGCGGAGGAACACCGAUGGCAAAGGCAAUCCCCUGGGCCUGCACUGACGCUCAUGCACGAAAGCGUGGGGAGCAAACAGGAUUAAAUACCCUGGUAGUCCACGCCCUAAACGAUGUCAACUGGUUGUUGGGUCUUCACUGACUCAGUAACGAAGCUAACGCGUGAAGUUGACCGCCUGGGGAGUACGGCCGCAAGGUUGAAACUCAGAGGAAUUGACGGGGACCCGCACAAGCGGAGGAUGAUGUGGUUUAAUUCGAUGCAACGCGAAAAACCUUACCCACCUUUGACAUGGCAGGAAGUUUCCAGAGAUGGAUUCGUGCCCGAAAGGGAACCUGCACACAGGUGCUGCAUGGCUGUCGUCAGCUCGUGUCGUGAGAUGUUGGGUUAAGUCCCGCAACGAGCGCAACCCUUGCCAUUAGUUGCUACGAAAGGGCACUCUAAUGGGACUGCCGGUGACAAACCGGAGGAAGGUGGGGAUGACGUCAAGUCCUCAUGGCCCUUAUAGGUGGGGCUACACACGUCAUACAAUGGGUGGUACAGAGGGUUGCCAACCCGCGAGGGGGAGCUAAUCCCAUAAAGCCAGUGGUAGUCUGGAUCGCAGUCUGCAAGUCGACUGCGCGAAGUCGGAAUCGUUAGUAAUGGCGGAUCAGAAUGUAGCGGUGAAUAAGUUUUCGUGUUG